rnacentral:rRNA from 1 species
CAAAUGAAUUGACGGGGGCCCGCACAAGCGGUGGAGCAUGUGGUUUAAUUCGAUGCAACGCGAAGAACCUUACCUGGUCUUGACAUCCACGGAAGUUUUCAGAGAUGAGAAUGUGCCUUCGGGAACCGUGAGACAGGUGCUGCAUGGCUGUCGUCAGCUCGUGUUGUGAAAUGUUGGGUUAAGUCCCGCAACGAGCGCAACCCUUAUCCUUUGUUGCCAGCGGUCCGGCCGGGAACUCAAAGGAGACUGCCAGUGAUAAACUGGAGGAAGGUGGGGAUGACGUCAAGUCAUCAUGGCCCUUACGACCAGGGCUACACACGUGCUACAAUGGCGCAUACAAAGAGAAGCGACCUCGCGAGAGCAAGCGGACCUCAUAAAGUGCGUCGUAGUCCGGAUUGGAGUCUGCAACUCGACUCCAUGAAGUCGGAAUCGCUAGUAAUCGUGGAUCAGAAUGCCACGGUGAAUACGUUCCCGGGCCUUGUACACACCGCCCGUCACACCAUGGGAGUGGGUUGCAAAAGAAGUAGGUAGCUUAACCUUCGGGAGGGCGCUUACCACUUUGUGAUUCAUGACUGGGGUGAAGUCGUAACAAGGUAACCGUAGGGGAACCUGCGGUUGGAUCAC